rnacentral:rRNA from 1 species
GACGAACGCUGGCGGCGUGCUUAACACAUGCAAGUCGAGCGGUAAGGCCCUUUCGGGGGGUACACGAGCGGCGAACGGGUGAGUAACACGUGGGUGACCUGCCCUUAGCUCUGGGAUAAGCCUGGGAAACUGGGUCUAAUACCGGAUAUGACUCCAUGACGCAUGUUGUGGGGUGGAAAGCCUGUGCGGCUAGGGAUGGGCCCGCGGCCUAUCAGCUUGUUGGUGGGGUGAUGGCCUACCAAGGCGACGACGGGUAGCCGGCCUGAGAGGGCGACCGGCCACACUGGGACUGAGACACGGCCCAGACUCCUACGGGAGGCAGCAGUGGGGAAUCUUGCGCAAUGGGCGAAAGCCUGACGCAGCGACGCCGCGUGAGGGAUGACGGCCUCGGUU